rnacentral:rRNA from 1 species
AGAGUUUGAUCAUGGCUCAGGACGAACGCUGGCGGCGUGCUUAACACAUGCAAGUCAAGGAGAAAUUCAGGUUUCGGCUUGGAAAGUAAACUGGCGGACGGGUGAGUAACGCGUAGGUAAUUUGCCUCUAUGACCGGGAUAACCCUUCGAAAGAAGGGCUAAUACCGGAUAUGGUCAUUAUAUCGCAUGGUGAAAUGAUUAAAGGCUGGUUUUGCUAUCGCAUAGAGAUAAACCUGCGUUCCAUUAGCUAGUUGGUGAGGUAAUGGCUCACCAAGGCGACGAUGGGUAGCUGGUCUGAGAGGAUGAUCAGCCACACUGGGACUGAGAUACGGCCCAGACUCCUACGGGAGGCAGCAGUGGGGAAUAUUGCGCAAUGCCCGCAAGGGUGACGCAGCGACGCCGUGUGGGUGACGAAGCUCUAAGGAGUGUAAAACCCUGUCAGAGGGGAAGAAUAGCUUGGAUUCGAAAGGAUCCAGGUUUGACGGUACUCUCAGAGGAAGCUCCGGCUAACUCCGUGCCAGCAGCCGCGGUAAUACGGGGGGAGCAAGCGUUGUCCGGAAUCACUGGGCGUAAAGGGCGUGUAGGCGGGCUGGUAAGUCAGAUGUGAAAUGUUAUGGCUCAACCAUAGAGUGUCAUCUGAAACUACCAGUCUUGAGUUCGAGAGAGGGCGGUGGAAUUCUCGGUGUAGCGGUGAAAUGCGUAGAUAUCGGGAGGAACACCUGAUGCGAAGGCGGCCACCUGGCUCGACACUGACGCUGAGGCGCGAAAGCGUGGGAAGCAAACAGGAUUAGAUACCCUGGUAGUCCACGCCGUAAACGAUGGGCACUAGAUGUCGGUUUUAUCUAAAGGUAAAAUCGUGUCGCAGCUAACGCACUAAGUGCCCCCGCCCUGGGGAGUACGCUCGCAAGGGUGAAAACUCAAAUGAAUUGACGG